rnacentral:rRNA from 1 species
AACGAACGCUGGCGGCGCGCUUAACACAUGCAAGUCGAACGAGAAGGCGUAGCAAUACGCUUGUACAGUGGCGAACGGGUGAGUAAUACGUGGGCGACCUACCCUCGAGUGGGGAAUAACCCGCCGAAAGGCGGGCUAAUGCCGCGUACGCUUCCAUCUUUAUGGAGGUGGAAGGAAAGCCGUGCCGUGGGCACGGCGCUCAAGGAUGGGCUCACGUCCUAUCAGCUUGUUGGAGGGUAACGGCCUACCAAGGCUCCGACGGGUAGCUGGUCUGAGAGGACGAUCAGCCACACUGGCACUGCGACACGGGCCAGACUCCUACGGGAGGCAGCAGUGAGGAAUAUUGCGCAAUGGGCGAAAGCCUGACGCAGCGACGCCGCGUGGGGGAUGAAGGUCUUCGGAUUGUAAACCCCUUUCGGAGGGAGAUGGGACGGGCAACCGUUCGGACGGUACCUCCCAGAAGCAGCCACGGCUAACUUCGUGCCAGC